rnacentral:rRNA from 1 species
UACGUAGGGUGCAAGCGUUUAAUCGGAAUUACUGGGCGUAAAGCGUGCGCAGGCGGUUAUAUAAGACAGUUGUGAAAUCCCCGGGCUCAACCUGGGAACUGCAUCUGUGACUGUAUAGCUAGAGUACGGUAGAGGGGGAUGGAAUUCCGCGUGUAGCAGUGAAAUGCGUAGAUAUGCGGAGGAACACCGAUGGCGAAGGCAAUCCCCUGGACCUGUGACUGACGCUCAUGCACGAAGCGUGGGGAGCAAACAGG